GCACCACAAGGGGUGAAGCCUGCGGUUCAAUUGGAGUCAACGCCAGAAAUCUUACCCGGAGAGACAGCAGAAUGAAGGUCAAGCUGAAGACUUUACCAGACAAGCUGAGAGGUGGUGCAUGGCCGUCGCCAGCUCGUGCCGUGAGAUGUCCUGUUAAGUCAGGUAACGAGCGAGAUCCCUGCCUCUAGUUGCCACCAUUACUCUCAGGAGUAGUGGGGCGAAUUAGCGGGACAGCCGUAGUUAAUACGGAGGAAGGAAGGGGCCACGGCAGGUCAGUAUGCCCCGAAACUCUGGGGCCACACGCGGGCUGCAAUGGUAACGACAAUGUGUUCCGAAUCCGAAAGGAGGAGGUAAUCCAGAAACGUUACCACAGUUAUGACUGAGGGCUGCAACUCGCCCUCACGAAUAUGGAAUCCCUAGUAACUGCGUGUCAUUAUCGCGCGGUGAAUACGUCCCUGCUCCUUGCACACACCGCCCGUCGUUUCAUUGAAGUUUGCUUUUAGCGAGGUGACGUCUAAUUGGCGUUAUCGAACUUGAGGUAAGUGACAAGGGAA
rnacentral:rRNA from 1 species